rnacentral:rRNA from 1 species
GACGUGAGGGCGCGAGCGUUGUCCGGAUUUAUUGGGCGUAAAGAGCUCGUAGGCGGCUUGUCGCGUCGACUGUGAAAACCCAUGGUUCAACCAUGCGGUCUGCAGUCGAUACGGGCAGGCUAGAAUUCGGUAGGGGAGACUGGAAUUCCUGGUGUAGCGGUGAAAUGCGCAGAUAUCAGGAGGAACACCGAUGGCGAAGGCAGGUCUCUGGGCAUUAACUGACGCUGAGGAGCGAAAGCAUGGGGAGCGAACAGG